rnacentral:rRNA from 1 species
UAGAUGCGAGAGUAGAGCAUAUCAAUAAGCGGAGGAAAAGAAACUAACAAGGAUUCCCUUAGUAACGGCGAGUGAAGCGGGAAGAGCUCAAAUUUGAAAUCUUCAAGGUUCUACCUUGACGAAUUGUAGUUUAUAGAAGUGUUUUCUGUUAGUGGAGUGGCAAAAGUUCUUUGGAAUAGGACAUCAUAGAGGGUGAGAAUCCCGUAUUUGGUCAUUCCUCCUAGCGUUGUGAUACACUUUCAACGAGUCGGAUUGUUUGGGAAUGCAGUCCAAAAUGGGUGGUAAAUUUCAUCUAAAGCUAAAUAUUGGCGAGAGACCGAUAGCGAACAAGUACCGUGAGGGAAAGAUGAAAAGAACUUUGAAAAGAGAGUUAAACAGUACGUGAAAUUGUCAAAAGGGAAGCGUUUGACACCAGUGUUGUUUUUCCGAAAAUCAAUUACGAAUGUUUUAUUUUUGAGGAGUUAUGACUUCAUCGGCUUGCUCCUUUCUUUAUGAAACUUUCUUAAUGCACUUUUCGGUUAACAAGUCAACAUCAAUUUCUUUUGUUGUAAAAGGGUCAUUGAGGAAGGUGGCUUUCAUUUCGGAUGAAAGUGUUUAUAGCCUUGUGCCUCUGCAAUCGGAGAGAUUGAGGUCUGCAGCGUAGAUCCUUCGGGGUUAGAUACAUUUGUGCUAAGUUAUAGCUUUUCAUAGACAACUUGUUGACUAUGCUUAGUCUUGUAGCUUACUCGCAUGCGCUAUUUUACCUACGCUUAGGAUGUUGACGAGACUGUCGAUCUC